rnacentral:rRNA from 1 species
GACGAACGCUGGCGGCGUGCCUAAUACAUGCAAGUCGAGCGGACGGAUGGGAGCUUGCUCCCAGACCGUCAGCGGCGGACGGGUGAGUAACACGUGGGCAACCUGCCUGUAAGACUGGGAUAACUCCGGGAAACCGGGGCUAAUACCGGAUAACUCUUUCCCUCACCUGAGGGAAAGCUGAAAGAUGGCAUUUCGCUAUCACUUACAGAUGGGCCCGCGGCGCAUUAGCUAGUUGGUGGGGUAACGGCUCACCAAGGCGACGAUGCGUAGCCGACCUGGGGGGGGGAUCGGCCAAACGGGAACGAGAAACGGGCCCAGACCCCUACGGGGGGAAGCAUAGGGAAAUCUUCCGCAAUGGACGAAAGUCUGAGGGGGCAACGCCGCGUGAGUGAGAAAGGUUUUCGGAUCGUAAAACUCGGUUGUCAGGGAAGAACAAGUACCGAGGUACCUGCCGGUACCUGGACGGUACCUGUCAAGAAAGCCACGGCUAACUACGG